AUUGAACGCUGGCGGCAGGCUUAACACAUGCAAGUCGAGCGGGGUGAUGGUGCUUGCACUAUCACUUAGCGGCGGACGGGUGAGUAAUGCUUAGGAAUCUGCCUAUUAGUGGGGGACAACAUCUCGAAAGGGAUGCUAAUACCGCAUACGUCCUACGGGAGAAAGCAGGGGAUCACUUGUGACCUUGCGCUAAUAGAUGAGCCCAAGUCGGAUUAGCUAGUUGGUGGGGUAAAGGCCUACCAAGGCGACGAUCUGUAGCGGGUCUGAGAGGAUGAUCCGCCACAACGGGGCUGAGACGCGGCCCAGACUCCUACGGGAGGCAGCAGUGGGGAAUAUUGGACAAUGGGGGGAACCCUGAUGCAGCCAUGCCGCGUGUGUGAAGAAGGCCUUAUGGUUGUAAAGCACUUUAAGCGAGGAGGAGGCUCUUUUGGUUAAUACCCAAGAUGAGUGGACGUUACUCGCAGAAUAAGCACCGGCUAACUCUGUGCCAGCAGCCGCCGCAG
rnacentral:rRNA from 1 species